GGGGCCGCAACGGUUUCGACAGGUUGGCGAAAGCUCCUCCGUGAUUCAGGUCGAGAGUGAGUCUCCUCUCGUAAAUCCAAGGCUCAAACAAAAAAGUAACUGCGAAUAAAAUCGUCAAGUUUGAGCGAGCAGCAGUAGCUGCAUAACUGAACUCUCAAAAGUUCCGCUCGCUUCUAGGGUGACUCCGUUAAGUUCUAGAAGCCUAACCCCAACGGAUGCACUUUAUAGCCAUCUCUAGUUAGCUAUUGGGUAAAGACUUUACUGGAGUAUCCCACCAUUCGGGAUAAAGAAUGGUUCCCGUUCUGCGGAUUAAAAGAACUAAACCUGUGAAUGAGCGGACAGUCAAUACCCAGUCUGGACAGCAGUUCGACUCUGCUCGGCUCCAUAA
rnacentral:tmRNA from 1 species